rnacentral:rRNA from 2 species
AGACCCGAAACCCGGUGAUCUAGCCAUGGGCAGGUUGAAGGUUGGGUAACACUAACUGGAGGACCGAACCGACUAAUGUUGAAAAAUUAGCGGAUGACCUGUGGCUGGGGGUGAAAGGCCAAUCAAACCGGGAGAUAGCUGGUUCUCCCCGAAAGCUAUUUAGGUAGCGCCUCGUGAAUUCAUCUCCGGGGGUAGAGCACUGUUUCGGCUAGGGGGCCAUCCCGGCUUACCAACCCGAUGCAAACUGCGAAUACCGGAGAAUGUUAUCACGGGAGACACACGGCGGGUGCUAACGUCCGUCGUGAAGAGGGAAACAACCCAGACCGCCAGCUAAGGUCCCAAAGUCAUGGUUAAGUGGGAAACGAUGUGGGAAGGCCCAGACAGCCAGGAUGUUGGCUUAGAAGCAGCCAUCAUUUAAAGAAAGCGUAAUAGCUCACUGGUCGAGUCGGCCUGCGCGGAAGAUGUAACGGGGCUAAACCAUGCACCGAAGCUGCGGCAGCGACACUCAGGUGUUGUUGGGUAGGGGAGC